rnacentral:ncRNA from 2 species
CCCGUCGAGGGGCGCUGCGACGGCGCGCAGGGGCGCGCCUGCCAGGCUCGAUGGGGUGGAGAUUUCGUGCAACGGCGCCCGUUCAUC